rnacentral:rRNA from 1 species
CAGCAGCCGCGGUAAUACAGAGGGUGCGAGCGUUAAUCGGAUUUACUGGGCGUAAAGCGUGCGUAGGCGGCUUCUUAAGUCGGAUGUGAAAUCCCUGAGCUUAACUUAGGAAUUGCAUUCGAUACUGGGAAGCUAGAGUAUGGGAGAGGAUGGUAGAAUUCCAGGUGUAGCGGUGAAAUGCGUAGAGAUCUGGAGGAAUACCGAUGGCGAAGGCAGCCAUCUGGCCUAAUACUGACGCUGAGGUACGAAAGCAUGGGGAGCAAACAGGAUUAGAUACCCCGGUAGUCCCUGUCUUUUAUAC